ACCUAAAAGUCUAGCAGGCAGCUGAGGUGGCCCCACCUGGUCUGUUUCUGGCUCUCCACAUCCUGUUUCUAGGAUAUAGAUGUGACAUCUGCAAAUAACACUUCAUGCACUCAGACCAUUAAUUACUGACAGCAGAGAAAUAAACCUAGAGAGACACAAUAAACCAGGGUAAUGUACGGUGUGGAUUCCCUCGAGUCUCAGUGGAGGUGACUUCUAAGAAAUUUCCCCAGAUUCUCUUUGAUCUGAACCCACAACGAAAAUCAAGCCCCCACACAUGAGAGGAUCCAAACCAGCAGACCCACCACACUAAAGACAAGAACAAGGCUUAUCUCUGUAUUCUCUGUCAAUACAAAACACCUUCCAAAUAUGGAGUGAAUAAGGAAAUGAAUAAAGGAACAAACAAACAAACAAGUAAAUACAAGAACAGCAAUGACCUCCAACUCCCAACCUGUAAAAAAACAAGAAAUGGCUCCUCAGCUGAUCUACAGAACACUUUGAGAAAGAUUCAUUUUCAAGGAAGAACACAUAGGAAGACGUCCCAUAUCUUGCAUAUGGAGCAGAAUCAAGGAACUGGGCUUCCCAAGGAAUAUCCACUGUUCUAAGAAUCUAAAUAUUUUACCUCCGUGCCAUCCCAUAACCAUUUUUAUUCAAGCUGACAACUCUGUAAUUAAAGUCCUUAGCCUGCUGCUUGAUUUUUCCAAGUGGGCUUUGUCUUUUUGCAGCUGCAGAGGCUUUCUGCCAGAAGCCCUGCAAUGUUGGGCAUUGAGGACUCCUGCUUGUCAACAUGUCCCCAUUCACAGGUGGG